UACGAGGGGGGCGAGCGUUGUUCGGAAUUACUGGGCUUAAAGGGCGCGUAGGCGGGUGUCCAAGUCUGGGGUGAAAUCCUUCGGCCCAACCGGAGAACAGCCUCGGAUACUGGAUGUCUCGAGGGGGGUAGGGGCACGCGGAACUUCCGGUGGAGCGGUGAAAUGCGUAGAUAUUGGAAAGAACACCGAUGGCGAAGGCACUUUACUGGGCUAUUACUAACACUCAGAGACGAAAGCUAGGGUAGCAAAUGGG
rnacentral:rRNA from 1 species